rnacentral:rRNA from 1 species
CCCCUAGACGUUCUGGGCUGCACGCGCGCUACAAUAAUACGCACAGCGAGUAUCACCGAGCUCGAAAGGGCAAGGUAAACAAUAGAAAAGGUACUGUAAUGGUUAUAGAUCCUUGUAAUUAUUGAUCUUCAACGAGGAAUUCCUAGUAAGUAUGUGUCAUCAUCACGCACUGAUUACGUCCCUGCCCCUUGUACACACCGCCCGUCGCUCCUACCGAUUGGGUGAGCCGAUGAAACUCUCGGAUGUAGGCUAUUCAUAGCCCGCAGAAGAGAUUUGAAUCGUAGCGCUUAGAGGAAGGAGAAGUCGUAACA